GAUCUGCGACCGGGAGGCGCACAGUGUGGAGUUGGCACUGGAUGGAAGUGAUGAGAUUGAAAAUGCCACUGUGGCAGACUUCAAGACAUCGGUCCUAACACAUCAGUCCAAAUCGCCAGGGCAGUGAAUCCUGCUGUUUUGCGAGCUGUGGGUUGAAACCGAAUUUUUUUGUGUUCACAGUGCGCCUCUUGAAGCUAACUGUUGCAGCUGUGAUGAAGAUUGUUUCAGAGUAAGAUGCUGGUACAGCCAAUAUUACACCCGAGACCUGAAGAUUAAAGACCUCCACGUGCAUCUGAUUGAAGAAGUGAUUGCAAACAGAUCUCAUUUUAUAUUCCAGUUUUUUUUUUUUUUUUUUGUUUAAUGAAAUGCACCAUGUGUUUGUAUCUGUGUACAACAAAACCAGCGCAACCUCGGUGGUCCAUCCUUGCCCCGUGGACAGUGGACUCAUUCUGUCACUGUCCUGUGUCAUUAUGUCCCUCUGCUGUGCGACCUGACCUCUGUGAUUUGAGUGACACCCUCAGUCGUGUCCCUGUCCCCUGCUUGUCUGACAUGACUGCCCUGCCUUGUCUGUCAGCUCAGCUCACAAUCACACCCACUCCCCCUGCUUGCCUCGGUGAACAUUCAACGCUGUCGGUGAGUUUGGUAUGGAUCACAUAAAAACCAUCGACCGUUGACUGUGCCCUGUGGCUUGCUCUGACGUCAUCAGAAAUGAUCAAAAGUGCUCUGCUAUCUACGAAGGACAAAAAUGCAAGUGGGCGAAAACGGACAGAAAUGCACACAUGAACACACUCACACAUACAUGUGCGCACACACACACACACACACAACUGAUUCCACUGUAGCCCAAAGACCAAAGGUCACAAUCAACAUUCAUUGCUGUCGCUGGGUUGGACUGUGUGGAAAAGCUCACUGAACAAUGAGUGCAACUGUGGCCCAGAUCUGCCUGACUCACGUCUCAGCCAAUAAGCCAACCGGAUGUGAAACGCUCUGAUUUCUUUAUUUAUAUAGCUCUUGUUUUUCACUUCUAUUUUCUCCACUCUUCCUCCCUCCCUGGCGCUGGGAGUCUUCAGGGGAAGAGAGAAAGAGAGAGAUAGAGACACAAAUAGACUUCUGGCUGCUUGCUUGUCCUCAUCCUCCUCUCCUCUCCUCUAAUUGGUGGUUAUGUGUGCAGCAAGGGGGAAGGAAGCGGAGUGAAUGUGUAAUCAUUUGGAGUCUCUUCUCCUUUAGAUGUUUCAUCCCUCUCUUUUUUGUUUGUCUAAUUAUAUAGUGUGCUCAGUUAACUGUGUUAACUGUGUGUGUCUGUGUGUCCGUGACACUGAACGAGGGAGAGAAAGAAAAAGAGCGAGGAAGACAAAAUAAGAAAAAGAGGGAGGGAGAUCAUAACAGCAACAAAAUUUAUUAUGUAGUUAUGAAUAUACUUUGUAUAAUCUUUCUCCCGGUGGUGCCACUCUGCAUCCACUUCAAGUGAUUUCCAAAUUCAGAAAGUAGAUCUUUUUCACCUUUCUGACUCAGGCUGCUGUCUCAUUAUCUGCCUUUGAGUUUCGUGAGAGACUGUCUGGCUGCCUGCCUGUGUGUGUGUGUGUGCGUGUGCGUGUGUGUAUGUGUGUGCGUGCGUGGUGAUAGAGGACCUGUCUGGCUAUCUCAGAGUGCAAUAUGUUAUUUCCUUCUAUCCUAAUGCCUGGUCCCCAGUGGGAGAGCGCAGUCUGUAACCUUGUCUUCCUUCAGACAGUCUGGGACCAGCCAUGCUAUUGGCUUUUCUCUCUCUUUCAUUAGGCCAUUUCAUAGCGACUGUCUUAUAUUGUUUCCUGUAUAUAAUGUAAAUACACAUCUCACGUGGUAAAUGUACCCAUAUAAUGCAUAAUAAUAUUAUCUGUGUAUUAGAUCCUCAUGAAGCUGAGGAUUUUUAUGACUCAUUUUUUUUUUAACUUGGCUCAAUAAAGUUACAUCACAACUGAA